rnacentral:rRNA from 1 species
AUUGAACGCUGGCGGCAGGCUUAACACAUGCAAGUCGAGCGGAGAUGAGGUGCUUGCACCUUAUCUUAGCGGCGGACGGGUGAGUAAUGCUUAGGGUUCUGCCUAUUAGUGGGGGACAACAUUCCGAAAGGAAUGCUAAUACCGCAUACGUCCUACGGGAGAAAGCAGGGGAUCUUCGGACCUUGCGCUAAUAGAUGAGCCUAAGUCGGAUUAGCUAGUUGGUGGGGUAAAGGCCUACCAAGGCGACGAUCUGUAGCGGGUCUGAGAGGAUGAUCCGCCAGGGUGGGAAUGAGACUCGGCCCAGACUCCGACGGGAGGCAUCAGUGAGGAAUAUGGCGCAAUCGGCUAAAUCCUGACGCAGCACCGCCGGGUGGAGGAGGAGGGUCUUCGGAUUGUAAACUUCUGUUAACCAGGACGAAAGACUCACGAGUAAUAUGCGUGAGGGAUGACAGUACUGUUAGAGAAAGCACCGGCUAACUGCGUGCCAGCCGCCGCCGUAACAC